rnacentral:rRNA from 1 species
AGAGUUUGAUCCUGGCUCAGGAUGAACGCUGGCGGCGUGCCUAACACAUGCAAGUCGAGCGAGGGUUUGCUCAGUAUUGAGUAUUCUAAGUCUAGAAUGUUCAAUUCUGAGCAAAACCAAGCGGCGGACGGGUGAGUAACGCGUGGGUAACCUGCCCUAUACACAUGGAUAACAUACUGAAAAGUUUACUAAUACAUGAUAAUAUAUAUUUGCGGCAUCGCAGAUAUAUCAAAGUGUUAGCGGUAUAGGAUGGACCCGCGUCUGAUUAGCUAGUUGGUGAGAUAACUGCCCACCAAGGCGACGAUCAGUAGCCGACCUGAGAGGGUGAUCGGCCACAUUGGAACUGAGACACGGUCCAAACUCCUACGGGAGGCAGCAGUGGGGAAUAUUGCACAAUGGGCGAAAGCCUGAUGCAGCAACGCCGCGUGAACGAUGAAGGUCUUCGGAUCGUAAAGUUCUGUUGCAGGGGAAGAUAAUGACGGUACCCUGUGAGGAAGCCCCGGCUAACUACGUGCCAGCAGCCGCGGUAAUACGUAGGGGGCUAGCGUUAUCCGGAUUUACUGGGCGUAAAGGGUGCGUAGGUGGUCCUUCAAGUCGGUGGUUAAAGGCUACGGCUCAACCGUAGUAAGCCGCCGAAACUGGAGGACUUGAGUGCAGGAGAGGAAAGUGGAAUUCCCAGUGUAGCGGUGAAAUGCGUAGAUAUUGGGAGGAACACCAGUAGCGAAGGCGGCUUUCUGGACUGCAACUGACACUGAGGCACGAAAGCGUGGGUAGCAAACAGGAUUAGAUACCCUGGUAGUCCACGCUGUAAACGAUGAGUACUAGGUGUCGGGGGUU